CGCCCAGGCACGCCGGGAGCUGUAGUACUGGCGCUUCCGCGCCGCGCCCUCAUGCCUGCGGAGCCACGGGCAGACUGCAAGUCCCAGGAAAGACUAUAGUCUCAAAAGGAGUAAGCAACAAGCUGUGAUCUGAGACCACAAGAUGGGAGCCAGGAAUUUAACGUUUCUCAGUCCUGCCUCUCUUUCUUCUUGUUUUCCCAUCUGUAAAAUGAAGAUAAGAUUUGUCUGCCUCACAGAUCUACUGCAUGGAUAAAUUAAUGUUCAUAAAACAUUUUCUAAUAGUGCUAGAUAC